UACGUAGGGAGCAAGCGUUGUUCGGAUUUACUGGGCGUAAAGGGCGCGUAGGCGGCAAAUUAAGUCAGCUGUGAAAUCUCCGAGCUUAACUCGGAACUGUCAGCUGAUACUGAUCUGCUAGAGUGCGGAAGGGGCAAUCGGAAUUCUUGGUGUAGCGGUGGAAAUGCGUAGAUAUCAAGAGGAACACCUGAGGUGAAGACGGGUUGCUGGGCCGACACUGACGCUGAGUGCGCGAAAGCCAGGGGAGCAAACGGG
rnacentral:rRNA from 1 species